UCUGUGCACAGGUGCUUUGCUGUGCAGGCAAGAAAGGGCUUGGGCAGCUCCACUGCCCUUGUUUGCUUUGGGAUCAUGGAUAUUGUGGGGGACAGUGCAGGGGGAAGGGAGAAAGCCUGGGCUUUGCUCACACAUGGCUGGGUUUUUCCCUGGCAUGCCGGGCUUGGGCCUUCCUCAAUCCCCUCACAGAGAUAUGAUUUUUACCUUUGUUCUUUUUUUCCCUUUUUGUCUGUAAUCUAUUUUCAACAAUUUGUUGUUUGUUUUUCUAGAGGAAGCAUUCUGGUUGGUCCAGUCUGGAUCGGGAAGUUCUUGGGAGCAGCUGCGGCGUGGAUGGGCCGUGCCCUUGGAGCAGGCUGAGGACAUCAUUUGGGACCAGCUUUUCUUCCAGCCAUGGAUGGCAUGAGCCAGGCUCUGUGGAUGCUGAGGCUGCUCUGGGCUCUGGCAGGGCUCUGCUGGAGCUCAGCACGGGGCCGGAAUCAGCCAAAGAAGAAAUGGUGUCACCUGCAGCACAGACUUGCUUGAGCAUUUUGGCAACACAGCUCAAGUUUGCAGAGUGACACCUCCCAAAAAUUAAACUUGUUCAAUACCUUCUGAAAUGAAAUCAA